GUCAGGAUGAACGCUGGCGGCGUGCCUAACACAUGCAAGUCGAACGGAGUUAUAUAACGGAAGUUUUCGGAUGGAAGAUAUGUAACUUAGUGGCGGACGGGUGAGUAACGCGUGGGCAACCUGCCCUGUACCGGGGGAUAACACUUAGAAAUAGGUGCUAAUACCGCAUAAGCGCACAGCUUCGCAUGAAGCAGUGUGAAAAACUCCGGUGGUACAGGAUGGACCCGCGUCUGAUUAGCUAGUUGGUGGGGUAGAGGCCCACCAAGGCGACGAUCAGUAGCCGGCCUGAGAGGGUGACCGGCCACAUUGGGACUGAGACACGGCCCAAACUCCUACGGGAGGCAGCAGUGGGGAAUAUUGCACAAUGGGGGAAACCCUGAUGCCAGCGGCGCCGCGUGAGUGAAGAAGUAUUUCGGUACGUAAAGCUCUAUCAGCAGGGAAGAAAAUGACGGUACCUGACUAAGAAGCCCCGGCUAACUACGUGCCAGCAGCCGC
rnacentral:rRNA from 1 species